UACGUAGGGGGCAAGCGUUGUCCGGAAUCAUUGGGCGUAAAGAGCGCGUAGGCGGUCCGGUAAGUCCGCUCUGAAAGUCCGGGGCUCAACCCCGGGAGGCGGGCGGAUACUGCCGGGCUAGAGUCCGGAAGAGGAGAGUGGAAUUCCUGGUGUAGCGGUGAAAUGCGCAGAUAUCAGGAAGAACACCCGUGGCUAAGGCGGCUCUCUAGUACGGUACUGACGCUGAGACGCGAAAGCGUGGGGAGCGAACAGG
rnacentral:rRNA from 1 species